rnacentral:lncRNA from 1 species
UAACUAACUAACUAACUAACUAACUAACUAACUAACUAACUAACUAAAUAAAUAAAUAAAUAAAUAAAUAAAUAAAUAAAUAAAUAAAUAUUGCCAGCUACUGAGAAAGCAUCACCUUGUUCUUUGCUCCAGGAAGCAAAAUCUCCCAGUCCAAUCCUGUCUCCAGUUCUUUUGCACAUUCCCAUCUCCAACAUAUCAAGACUUUGAGAGAUCUGCAUGGCAAACAUCAUUUUCAUUGCCAGGCGAGUUUAAAUUGAUGGAUUGGACCCACCAAUGAAACAAGCUGAAGCAAAUCAAAGCUUUUCCCUUGCUGUGAAUGAUGGUGAAACAUUGUGAAUUCCCUGAGUACCAGCCUAUCAGACAAAAAGAGAG